CGUUCUCAUUAUCACACUGAUCCCCAUACGACCCCGUUCGCGUGGUGAACGCCGUUCCUUAAGGACUUUCUCUCCCGGCGUCUCUUUCCGCCCAGGGUCCCCCGCUUUCAAUCCCCGACCCUAUGACGCCUUUCAACUCCGCCACUGACGCCUUUCAACUCCGCCCAGGCCUCGCGUCGGAGUUCAUGCGCGACCCGGUCAAGGUGCGGAUCGGCGCGGAAGGUUUGAAAGCGUCGCACUCGAUCACGCAGAUCGUGGAGGUGGUCGAGCCGAACGAUAAAGACUCGCAUCUCACUCGUCUCCUCAAGAAGUACUGCGGCGGUCAGACCCCGACGCCUCGGACGCUCAUCUUCGCGUUGUAUAAGAAGGAGUGCGCGCGCGUCGCGGAGAACUUGAGGCGCGUUCUAUGUCUUUAUUUCAAACUGGUCCCCAUACGGCCCCGUUCGCGUGGUGAACGCGAUUCCUUGAGGACUUUACUUCCCGGCGCAUCUCUCCGCUCAUCACCCCUCGGUUUCAAUCCCCGCCUUCGACGCCUUUCAACUCCACCCCUGACGCCUUUCAACUCCACCCCGACAUCGUCGCUCGUACGGAACGACCCUCAGACGCCAAAACUGGGCGUGCGUCCCGAUCCACGGCGACAUGACGCAACGAGAUCGCGAGGAGUCCGUCGCCGCGUUUAAGGACGGGUCGAAGCCCUUGCUCGUCGCCACCGACGUCGCCGCGCGAGGAUUAGACAUCAAAGGCGUGGAGUACGUUAUCAACUACACGUUCCCGCUGACCACGGAGGAUUACGUGCACAGGAUCGGACGCACGGGUCGGGCGGGGAAGACGGGCAUCG
rnacentral:lncRNA from 1 species